CUCUUCUGGUGGACAAAGGAAUACAUUGGCUCAUGUAUUGAUGUAUGAUUCAGUGAGACGAUGUUUAUUCAAAUAUAACUCUGCCGCGGGCAAGCGCUUUUACUCUUCUGGUGGACAAAGGAAUACCUUGGCUCAAGUAUCGAUGUGUGAUUCAGUGAGACGCAGUCUAUUCAAGUAUAACUCUACCGUGGUCAAGCGCUUUUACCUUUCUGGUGGACAAAGGAAUACGUUGGCUCAACCGAUGAAGUUAAAUGAAGCCGCCGCUGGGGGAAUUAUAACAAGAUCGAGAGGCUAAACACGAAUUCAACAAGUGUCAUUUGUUAUCAUUCGUAUAUCAAUGUAUAUGUAUGCACAUGCAUUUGGUGCGUAAGUAUGCGGUGAAUUCACACGUUUGCUUCGUAUUUCGCUUUUCAAACCAAAUGCUUUAACUUCAUCUAUUUCAUCACAGAAUUCGGGUAUAGUAAUUGUCGAACGUCAAAUGUAUCGUCUAUUCACGCUAAAUCGAUCUGUAUUUCAAUUUCGAUUUCAAUGUCAAUUUUAUUACCAUCUUGAGGUUAUUAACCGGCCAGAUUGGGCCUCUGAUUCGGCGAUUGGGUUUCAAUAAAGCGUCACAUUAAACUGUUUCAGUCAUUCAAAAGUAGAUUAUAUAAAACUUCCUUUCUAGCUGUUUCAGAGCACUCGUUAAUAAAAGUUAUAAACAAACACUAUUCACUAAUUUGGCCCGUAUACAUUAUCAAUACCUUACUGGGCACAACAUAGGAAAUCAAGUUCAUGUGUGAGAGAAAUUUAAGAUCUACUUUAUCUACAUUUGCGAUAAAUCGGCAAGUUGGAUGUCAUGAAAUAUUGGUUACUCAUGAAAAUUCAUUAAUGUCUUAUCACUAUACUGCAUGAUCUUUUUAGUCUACCAAAUACAUAUUCUUACAAUUUCUGCUACUCUCAUGCAUGCAUGAUUGCAUGUUCAAUCACAACACUUGGUUAUAAACACCUGAAUUGCAUUUUGAUCCUGCUAUUUUAAAAUAUUGAACAAGCUAUUUUCCUGAGAUUAAAGUCAUAUAAUUCGAGAAUUACAUUAUGUCAAGUUCCACCAAUCAUAAUUCAAAUAAAAUAAGUGGGGUUAACAAAUACAUUUGCAAAAUUGCUAUCGAACACAUUGACAUUAAAAAUAAAUAAAUCGUAAGGAAAAAAAAAAUGAUGGUGAGCUUUGUUUGUCGUGUUACCAACCCUCCAAUCAAGCACUUGUAAGAUAGAAGCUUUGUGGGGAAGCUGCUGGUUGUCUUGGCCCCAUCCAGGUUUCCUGUAAAGAUAUUGCAGGUUUUUCCUGGCCUCCCUGAUGUUCCAGCUGUAGUAUGAGUGAUGGUAAUGCUCAAAUAUAUGUCUUACGAUCAACUUUUUAAAAAAAAAAAAUAAUAAAAAAAAAAAAUUAUAUUUGCAUAUAACAUGAUUUUAAUUAAUUAAUUAUUUAAAGUGUGUCGAAAGAGAAAUAUAGACAAUAUGUCUUCGAAAAGCAUAAAGAUCAUCUGUCUUCUAUACGAUUACAGUUGUGGUGGGAGUUGGGUUUUUUCGUCUAUGGGGAAUACACAUGCUGUGUAUUUGUGGGGAUAGAGUGCUCCCAAAGGUCACCCUCAACCCCAUAGACUCACACAAAUCAAUGUAUUAUACAGUGUAUUGUAAAGUAAACAAUGACCAUCACGGGGAUCUACUACCCCUUGGACAUUAAAGUAAACAAUGACCAUCACGGGGAUCUACUACCCCUUGGACAUUAAAGUAAACAAUGACCAUCACGGGGAUCUACUACCCCUUGGACAUUAAAGUAAACAAUGACCAUCACGGGGAUUUACUACCCCUUGGACAUUAAAGUAAACAAUGACCAUCACGGGGAUCUACUACCCCUUGGACAUUAAAGUAAACAAUGACCAUCACGGGGAUCUACUACCCCUUGGACAUUUAAGAUGCCCAUCUCGGG